UACAGAGGCCUCGAGCGUUAGGCGGAAUCACUGGGCUUAAAGCGUGUGUAGGCGGACUUCUAAGUACCUUGUGAAAUCCCACGGCUCACCCGUGGAACUGCUCGGUAUACUGGUCGUCUUGAGCCUUCUAGGGGCGAGUGGAACAAAUGGUGGAGCGGUGAAAUGCGUAGAUAGUCAUUUGGAACGCCAAUGGUGAAAACAACUCGCUGGGGAAGUGCUGACGCUGAGACACGAAAGCCAGGGAGCGAACGGG
rnacentral:rRNA from 1 species